CGCGGGAAUAGCUGUCAGCACGGCAAAAACGUUGUUCCGUCAGACCGAGCGUAUUUGGCCGCCAAAGCUCGAGAAAACAUGGCGAAUUUUGACAACAAUGUUCAGAGGAUUUUAAAAUGAGGACAUCACGAGCGCCUGUGUAUCCCGUUGUUGAAGAUGUAGAAGACUCUGCCGAAGUUUGCAGUAAAUGCAAUUGAAAGUAUGCCAGUUGGAGUAAGGAACCACUUGUUUGACAGACUUUGAAGAAAAUGCACAAACCCUCAGAGAAAGCCAAUGACAGGAAACAAAGAUGAGAAAAGAAGUUUGUUCUUUUAGUGUCAAGUAUUAACCCUCUGAAGAGAUCGAGUUCAACAUGGGACAAUUGAAUAAUAGAAUUUUUCAUAUAACCGAGCGAAUACAUACAUACGUUUAUUUUAUAUUGUAAAUCUUUCAACUUUAUUUGAAAUAGCUGAAUAAAAGGUAGUAAAUCAGUGAGAGAACUUUA
rnacentral:lncRNA from 1 species